GAUGAACGCUGGCGGCGUGCCUAAUACAUGCAAGUCGAGCGAACAGAUAAGGAGCUUGCUCCUUUGACGUUAGCGGCGGACGGGUGAGUAACACGUGGGUAACCUACCUAUAAGACUGGAAUAACUCCGGGAAACCGGUGCUAAUGCCGGAUAACAUUUAGAACCGCAUGGUUCUAAAGUGAAAGAUGGUUUUGCUAUCACUUAUAGAUGGACCCGCGCCGUAUUAGCUAGUUGGUAAGGUAACGGCUUACCAAGGCAACGAUACGUAGCCGACCUGAGAGGGUGAUCGGACACACUGGAAGUGAGACACGGUCCAGACGCCUACGGGAGGCAGCAGUAGGGAAUCGUCCGAAAUGGGCGAAAGCAUGACGGAGAAACGCCGCGUGAGAGAUGAAGGUCUUCGGAGCGUAAAACUCUGUUAUUAGGGAAGAAAAAAUGUGUAAGUAAAUGUGCACGUCUUGACGGUACCUAAUCAGAAAGCCACGGCUAACUACGUG
rnacentral:rRNA from 1 species